rnacentral:lncRNA from 1 species
CAAGACAGGAAGUGAAAUCAUUUUCUCUUUGAGCUGCACAAACGCCUGUUCAGCAAUUUCAUCCCAAUAGAAAUUAUUCUUUUUAAGCCUCUCGGUUGGAGGCCAUGCUAUCUUUCCAUAAUCUCGCACAAACCGUCUAUAGUACCCUGUAAGGCCAAGAAACCCCCUUAGUUCGCGAAGGGACCUCGGGCUCGGCCAAUCCACCAUUGCUUUAAUUUUCUCACAGUCAGCUGCCAUCCCGUGCUGAGAAAUAACAUGCCCUAGUACUCUACUUCGCCUUGUCCGAAUAUACACUUCUUUCCAUUCAGGUACAAUCGGUUUUCUGCCAAUACUUUCAAAACCCACCUCAAAUGCCCCUUAUGCUCAGUCAUAUUCUUGCUAUAUAUCACUAUAUCAUCAAAAAAGACUAGUACUGACCUCCUUAACUGUUCUUUAAAAAUUUCAUUCAUCAAGGCUUGGAAAGUGGCAGGCACAUUAGUUAAACCAAAAGGCAUAACCAAAAAUUUUAAUGCCCCUCGUGGGUUCUAAAGGCUGUCUUGGGAAUGUCCUCAGGUGUCACACGAAUUUGGUGAUAUCCUGCCUUCAAAUCUAGCUUAGAGAAUACUGUGGCCCCAUGCAACUCAUCUAGCAGCUCCUCAAUCACUGGGAUGGGAAACUUGUCCAGCACUGUCACUUUAUUCAAUGCCCUAUAGUCUACACAAAAUCGCCAACCUCCAUUUUUCUUCUUCACCAGUAAUACUGGACUCGAGAACGGACUGGUGCUUGGCUUGAUUAUUCCAGCUGCUAGCAUUUCUCGCACCAACUUUUCAAUCUCAUUUUUUUGGCUAUACGGAUAUCGAUAGGGUCUAAUGCUGACUGGAGUAGUGCCUGGUUGCAACACAAUCGCAUGAUCCCUUUCCCGAUUAAGGGGAAGCCUACACGAUUCCUGGAGGACUCUUUUAUAGUCUUCCAAUACCUCUUCUAAUUCUCCGGGUACCUUCAAUCUAACUUCACAUAACUCGACAGAAAUGCUCCCCAAUUCCAGUAAUAUGCCUUCUCCAUUUUCUCGAAAUGCCUUUAUCAUUGAUUUUAAUCCCA